GAAGUAUGUCCCAAAUAUCGCAACGGGACAUUGUUAUACUAAAAUUAUUCGGCGUUCAUAUCUGAAAUGCAAAUUAAACUGGGCGCCUUUGUGUUUUUAUUUGCCAAAUCUGGUACCCCUAGGCUGGUGUCAGUCCCACCCCUUCCUCCUCACUGGGAGGGCUCGCUGAUUUCCGCCCCCAGGUCCACCGGAAGCACCCAUGCCAAGACCUCAGUCCACCUCUCAAGCUCCCCUUCGUCUUCUGCCUUAAGGUUGGAUGCACCUACUGGUAAUACCUGUUGUGAUGGGAGCACCUGCCCCCACAGUCAACCUCCGUGCCUGGGACCUGGUGUGUGCAGGUGCCACACGGCCUCCUGAGGACACAGGCAAAUCAGUCACGGUGUCUGACCUCAAGGGGACCCAGUUUGGUAAAUGAAGCUUCUGAGAAAUGGAAAAGCACUGAAGUGCUCGUAACUGCUCCCCCUCGCUGCCACCCCCCAGCCGAUGCUGGGACAGAUGUUCACGACAAAGGCGUGGUCACUUCUUCCUGGGAAACCAGAAGAGGCCUCCUGGAGGAGGUGACCUGUGGCCACCUCUGUCCUUGCUCUCGUGUCACGUGCUUGGGCUGCCGUAACAAAGCACCACAGACAGAACAGCUCAAAUGACAGAAAACAUCUUACCCGCAGUUCGGAGGCUGGAGUCCAAGACGAAGGCGUCAGUAGGGCUGGAAGAACAGGAUAUCACACCAGACGAGUCCACUCUGUGACUGAGAUGGAACAAGGUAAGGAUGAGGAUUCUCCAUAGUCCUGUCUUAACACAGACACAAACAAGAACAGUCUAAGCUACAAAAUGACCACACAGCAGCCCACCCCAUCCUGCCCCUAAUCCAGAGUAACAUGAAUGACUGCGCGAAUAUUUACCAAAUGUGGCUUUAGCCUUUGCUAUGGACUGAAUGCUGUAUCUUCCCCCCAACAUUCAAGUGUUGAGGCCCGAAUCCCCGGUGCCGUGGUAUUUGGAGGUGCGGCCUUUGGGAGGUGAUUAGGUUAGGAGGGUAGAGUUUCCUGAAUGAGAUUUGUGUGCCCUUAUAAAAGAGACCCUAGACGGCACCCUUACCCCUUCUGCCACAUGAGGACAAGUGAAAAGCCCUCCAUGAACCAGGACGUGUGUUCUCACAAGACACCGGAUAUGUUGGUGUCUUGAUCUUGAAUUUCUCAGCCUUCAGAACUGUGAGAAAUAAAUUUCUGUUGUCCAUAA